AAAAAUAAAACAAAGCAAACACGUUUUUUGCAAUAUUUAAUUUUUUUGUCUGAAAUUACAGCAAUAUAUCCAUAAAUACCUAAUUAUUACACUCAACAAAGAAUAUAUUACAUUACAAUGAAUUCAAACAAGUACAUAAAAAAAGAAAACAAAAAAAGAAAAACAUUAAAAACCCCAUGGUUUCACAGCAUCUAACAUCCUCCACUGAGUUUGGGCGUGACUGUGUGUGUGCAUUGGGCAGGUUUGUAUAUGCUCUCAUCAGGCAGUGGCAGUGCUUUGUGUGAAGCAGAUACACACACACAAAGUGAUCAAACUGAUGGCACGCCUGCUCGGGGUCAGCAUAGCCGAAAUAAAUGACAGUGCAAGCAAACUCCUCACCUGUGCUUCAAAGAUGCAUUUGAGACACCUCUGUGUCUUACCCUUGCACUAAAUUCUGAUCAAAAAAUGGCGUGUGGUCUGUCUAUAACUGCAUGCUGUAUGCGGUGCUGUAUACAUGAGAUACAUACGCCACAUGUGAUGGGGGUUGGGUUAAGUGGCAGGAAAACAAACAGGUGUGUCAUUCCCAGAUUCUACAUCAUCU